CAGGAAAACGUCAAUGCUCACGACAAUUGACACGCUAGGCAUUUGGUCUAAACCCCACAUGCUCCCUGGCGGUCCGACUUGCAGUGGAAACACUCACCUGAAUAGGCUAGACUUUUCUAAUCCUUCCGAACCAUACUGACCCAAACCAUACUGCUCAGUGGAAACGAGGCACAAGUUAAAGGGACACUUCAAGCACCAAGACCACUGCUGCCCAUUGGAGUGGCCUGGGUGCCAGCUCAAAUCACCCUUAACCCUGCAAGUGUAAUUAUUGCGGUUUUUAUAAACUGCAAUAUUUACCUUGCAGGGUUAAGUCCUCCUCUAGUGGCUGUCCAUCAGACAGUCACUAGAGGUUCUUCCAGGUUCUUAAAACACAAAAAGUGUUUUAAACGAUGCUCAACAUCCUCACGCUAUGCAUGAGGACCUCCAGUGUCGCUGUAAUCCCCAAAGGAAAGUUUUAACCCCUUCAGCAAUAUGGGAUGGUGGGUGGGAGAGAGGGGGGCACUGCAGGAUUCUGCAGUACCAGGAAAAUUGAUUUGUUUUCCUGGCACUGGAGAGUCCCUUUAAGCAAGCAGUAGAGAGCCCCUUCCAGAUGACUGUGGGUUCUUACCACAUAAGACACUGUCUAGAAUAGGUGUUUAUGCAGUUAAAUUCUAAGGAGCAGCAGGUCUACUCAUCAGAUUGAACGAG